CCGAACUACGAAUAAUGAAUGGUCCAGGGUAGGCAAAAACUAAUAGCUCUUUUAUGAUUAUGUGAUAGGUGGUGCAUGGCCGUUCUUAGUUCGUGGAGUGAUCUGUCUGCUUAAUUGCGUUUCAAAACAACUGAUACACAGAGUCUUGGCACAGUUCAGUUUAAUGGCGUCGAGUAUCUUUGAUUUCGACAGUAGUCCAACUCGGUUCGCCAGGGUCUCUUUUGAACGCAACGGACGUGAUCGCAACCCUUUGUUGAGUGAUGUCAGCACUCUACGUCUAUCCUAGCUCGUUGAUCGCAAGUGAGAGUUGGGUGGGCAAACUCAGGGGACAGCUUCAACUAUUCUUCUUCAAACUAGAGGAAGGUUGCGGCAAUAACAGGUCUGUGAUGCCCUCAGAUGUUCUAGGCUGCACACGUGCUACAUUGAUCAGCACAAUGCGAUACAUUUCGAAAGGAAACAUCGGUUUUAAGGUAACGUCGAUUGCCUACCGAUAGCACCUGGUCCUCAGUGGACUGGGCAAUCUCUUCUAAAUGCUGGUAAGGUACCCACACUCGAGCUAUUUAAUCACACGCGGGAGGCACACACGGUUCAAAUCUCAUUUGCGACUGUUGCCGCCAUGACGUAUGCAACUUGUCAACUCUUCGUGGGGAUCGUC
rnacentral:rRNA from 1 species